rnacentral:rRNA from 1 species
UACGGGGGGGGAGCAAGCGUUGUUCGGAUUUACUGGGCGUAAAGGGCGCGUAGGCGGCCAGUGCAAGUCAGUUGUGAAAUCUCCGAGCUUAACUCGGAAAGGUCAACUGAUACUGCUCGGCUAGAGUGCGGAAGGGGCAACUGGAAUUCUUGGUGUAGCGGUGAAAUGCGUAGAUAUCAAGAGGAACACCUGCGGCGAAGGCGGGUUGCUGGGCCGACACUGACGCUGAGGCGCGAAAGCUAGGGGAGCGAACGGG